rnacentral:rRNA from 1 species
GACGAACGCUGGCGGCGUGCCUAACACAUGCAAGUCGAACGGAGCAGAGACUUCGGUUUUUGCUUAGUGGCGAACGGGUGAGUAACGCGUGAGAAACCUGCCUUUCAGUGGGGGACAACAGUUGGAAACGACUGCUAAUACCGCAUAAUGUAUCGGAACCGCAUGGUAGAGUGAGAAAAGAUUUUAUCGCUUUAAGAUGAGCUCGCGUCUGAUUAGCUAGUUGGUGGGGUAACGGCCUACCAAGGCAACGAUCAGUAGCCGGACUGAGAGGUUGAUCGGCCACAUUGGGACUGAGACACGGCCCAGACUCCUACGGGAGGCAGCAGUGGGGAAUAUUGCACAAUGGAGGAAACUCUGAUGCAGCGACGCCGCGUGAGGGAAGAAGGUAUUCGUAUUGUAAACUCUGUCUUGGGGACGAUAAUGAGGUACCCGAGGAGGAAGCA